GCAGUGUUGAUUGUCCUCUGACACUUUCUGGGGCAUGUGCCCACUCAGCGUGGCAUCCCGCUUAUUCAGCACCCCACGCCGACCCCACCAAAAACUCUACACAACAGACAGCAGAGCAACACACAAAGUAAAGUCACACAAACGCUUUUGACACAGAAGGAAACACCACCUCUCAUGUUGCUGACCAUCGCACCACAGACACACUCACAUGAACACUUGGCAGGUAACACCAAGGCACACAAACACAGGUACUGGGCCUGGACACUGCACAGCAACAUGAUGAAACAUAGUGGAGGUGGAGUUGCUGGACGCCAUAAAGGAAGGCACACAAAUAUCCCACGAGACAUCCUUGUACUGAACAAUGGAAUGAACACAAAUGCCACAGGACUUGGCUGAGAAAGUCUGGGAAUCAAGGUUCAGUGGUGGCCACUCCUGCAGCAUCACCUCUCCCUGUCGUAUCUGAUUCUCCUGGUAGGAUCCAUCAUCUGGUUGGCAGUCUGGGUGCCAGUCAGUUGCUUCCCAGGGGACUCGCAAGCGAUGGGAGCCGGGAGUCACUGGGCUGAAGCCUCCCCAGCCUCGGCAGCAGCUGUGUGGGAGACAGAGAGAGGUGCGGCACAGAUGUGGGAGUCUGGAGCCAACAGAAGGUAUGGCUGAUUUCAACGUCGGCCAUGUUUGUUAUUCCACCUUUUCCUGGGAGGAAGAAGCCGGCCCUUGAUCUGGCUCACAGCUAAACACUUAGCUUUUGUUCCCGAGAUGAAUAACUGCAAAGAGAACGAAGCGUGAGGGGAAAUGAGAGAGAAAAGGAAAAAAGACUUGGGGCCAGAAGAGAAAUCCGUUGACCAAGUGCAGAGUGAGGCUGGUCAUUCUACACCCCGCUAAAGCUGAGCCCCUAUUACAGAACAAGGGGCUCUGAGCCGUGACACACCUUUCCUUUUGCUGCAAUUCCUUGAAGCUACUGACAAACUUAAACUCACACUAUAUCACAAUGUCUGUACACCAGCCAUGUUAUGUCAAAACAUAACAGAGCAAUUAUGCACAUUUUGCCCCUAAGGUAAACUAUAUAUCUUAAAUUAUGAACAUAAAUCUGUUGAUGAAAACACAUUCUAGUGUUCAUUCUGUACAUUCACAGCAAAAAAAGAUGUCUACAUUAAAUUAAAUUCAAUUAUUAAAUCUUUCUUUUUAAAUUAUCAUUAAAUUCAAUUUUGUAUACGUUUUUUUUUAAGUCUUUUCAAUUUUCUACCUCUCCUGUUCUAAGGGUGGGAUGAGAUUCAGCCCACCAUAAACAAACUUGCUCUGCUGACUCUCAGUGGACCCAUGUGAUGAAUACUACCAGUCAAAAUCAUAGCUAAUGCUCAUAACCAGAUUUUCACAGAGAAUUUUGCACAACUUCAUUUUGUAGUAACACUAUCCACCUUGUAAAAAUGAACACCCUCUUCUAACGGCACAAGUGAGAAAUGGGAUAGUUUUCCCACUGAGUUCCCAGAUGUAGGAUUGCCAUUGUAUUCACACACCCGGUGUUAGCCCAAGACAGCACCCUCAAACACAGCUCUGUCUUGGCUUUGCAGAAAAAACAAGACUGUGAUAUGGAAGAGGUGGCAGUGUGAAGCUGUCAAUACAAAAUGUUUGUUUAUACUAGAGUAACCCCAAAAGCAAAAUUCGAUUUGAAAUUUGACAGUCUCUCCUCAUAUUGCAUCUAAAAACCAUUGUCCUAAUAAAUAUUUGAGUUCCCAUGAUGUGCC